GACAAAAUCCAGAGUGGGGUCCUGGCGUGGGGUGAGCGGGGCGGGGGGGAGACUCCCUCGGAAGGGACCCCGGGAAGGAGCAGCCCCCUCCCUGUCCCUCAGCUGCCUGGAAGGAAGGGGCAUCUGGCCACAUCCCUCAUUUGUUCUGCAGAAACAGAAAGUGCCCAGGCGGGGAAGAACACUCGUGAGGGGCAGGAUGUGGGCCGCCGGGGCCACCAAGCCAGAGGCUGCAGACGGCAGGGGACAGCUCCCGAGGCUGGCAAGCCCACGGCGUGGCUGGGAGACCCAUCCUUGCUUCAUAGCUGGACAGUUUGGAUUGUCCUCCCCUGGUGGCAGGGAGAGGGGAGCAGCCUGGGGCCUAACAGGGCCACUGGUUUCAUUCACAAGGAACUGUCAACCUGGUCACCGCCCAGAGUAACACCAUCACACAGAGGACAAUCCUUCACCCUUCAGCAGGUGGCUCGUCAGAGACCUGAGUGCCCAAUGCACGCGGUCCGCUGUCCGACCUUAUUCGGCAAGACUAGAAGUAACUGCGCUGGACAUUGUGGAUCCUCAUUUCUUGCUGGAUGUUGUGGAUCCUCAUUUCUUGCCACUGACGCUUGCUUCUCAGGAUGCCUGAGGGGCCCUCACACUGCCGGGUCACGGAAUCCCAGGGCACUUUCCAAGCUGUCCUAGUAUGCUUGUUCCCCUGCUCGCUGCCUCCCUCUGUGACCCUCGUACACACGCAUCCAUCACACGCCCAUGCGCGAAUUCUCGUCCAUCACAGUGCAGAUCAUGGCCUUCCUUCCAUGCUACCCUUUCUUCGUGUCCUAGUGACUGGGACUCCCACAAAACCCUUCUCCUCUACUCCGUCUUCUGUAAGAACAACCAAGCCAACCCCCAACCCCCGUCGGUCCAUUCUUUUCGAUUUGUUCUUCCUGCCCUGGGUCUGAUGACAUCCAGCACCCAGAGGGUCUCCAGAGCCUGAGCUUGGGUCUCUUGCCAGGUUCCUCAUUCAUCCCUGCAUGCCCCUGUCACGUGCCGUGCCCUGCGGUGGCCUCGCAGAGCACCCCUGCACCUCUUCAGGCCAGACGGUGGCUCGUCCACCAGAUGCAGGGCUUCUAGUCCCCUUGGAACGUGUUGCCGAGCUCUGUGUGCAGCCCUGGUUAGCACCUCAACCUUAACAGGCCCAGCGGCCAGCACCACUGGGGCCCCCUUCCUGAUCUCUCUCCACAGCUCUUUUGCCACCUACCGUCCUUAGCCUUUCCUUGUCCCCCCUCACUAGUCCCAGUGGGGUGGAGGCAAGGAAUUUGAUCCGCUGGCCAUUCCUAGGUGUCUGUGGCCGGCUGGCCGUUUAUCUACCAGAAAUCUAUCUUUUACUGCUCUGGCCCGAGCACCAGGCACCCGGUAGGCACUCGAGGUCUCUUCAGUGACACGUGGAUGACCGGAUGGAUGUUGCCAAUGGCACACAGACUUGCUCAGACUCCUCCCCAUGUUUUAUUUUUUUCCCCACCUACAUCUCUGUCCUGGUGGUCGUCCUCCUUCUGGCCCCUCAUUCUUCCAUGUGAUGGGAGCCCUCUACAAGAUGCUCCUCUCUCUCGGAUGUGUCACCUGAGCCGCACAGUGAGAGCACACGAGAGGAGCACACAGGGAAGGUCCCCAAGCCCCCGGGCCAGUGGACAGUGACACCCGUCUGGCAGGAGGCCGUAACGACUACGGACCUGUGUCCAUGGAGCCGCCAGCAGGCCUGCCAGGCACUGCCAUCCGGAGACAUGUGGAAUCGGGGCUCUGGGUUCAAGUCCCAGGUCUGCCCUUUACCUGCUGCGGUCCUUCACUUCCCAGGGCCCAGCAUUGUCAGCGUAAAGCGAGUCCACUGGAACUGGUUCUGGAGGCGUCCUAGGAACUGAGUGAGAUGAUGGUGUGUGGCCCGGGGAGCGGUAUCUAGGAAGCACUAGCUCCGUCACUGUCAUCACCGAGAGGAAACUGGAAGUCAGAGAAGGGAAGGCCAGGGCUGGGGCCGUGGGGUCCGCAUGGGCCUCGGAGCGCCCCCCCCCCCACCCACUGCAUCCCUUCUGGAAGGCGCUGCGGGCCUGUGCCUGGGGUGGGAGCGGGAAUCCUGUCCCUACGUGGGAUUGGGGUGAAAAGGAAGGUGGGGGCAGGUGGAGGAAGGGAGCUGGGAGUGCAGCAGGAGCAGAGAGAGGGGGAGGACCUGCAGGGGGAAUAGAGCCAGAGGACGGGUGGGACAGGGUUGGGCGGGCUGAGCACUGUGCGGUGAGCAGAGGCCGAGGCCGGGUUCCUCUCCCUGGCCGGACACAGGAGCAGUGUGGUCAUGGUCUGGGUGUGGCUCUGACACAAAUAAAAGGGAAGAAGAAGGGGAAAUGUGUCAUAUUUCCUUUGGCUGAAAUAUGAGCCCGGGUUCCUACUGUUCAGAGGGGGCGGGGGCAGCGCCCGGGUUCGAGGCCCCAGGCCAGCCUCCCACGCAGGCUGAUUUGACUUACUCAAUUCUGCACGUAAACAAUAGCAGCUUCACCGGCAGAAACACUAGGACACCACGAGGCUGCCCGCCACCCCCCCCCCACCCCGUAGGGUCAAAAUCAUGGGCCCCUAGAGCCCCAUGACACCGAGAGGGGGCCUGUCUCAGUGGCUCUGUUGAUGUUCAUUUGCUUUCUGCUCAUUUGUUUUGCCAGGUACCAGCCCUCGCAAGCAGGUGAUCCAGCUGCAGGCAGGGCUGGAAAAUAAUUCAGAGGGAGACACGGUUCUUCUCCCUGAGUCCAUGCCUGCACCUCGGACCCCUCCCAUCUGGUCCUUGUGGUGGGGCUCCCCUGCUAGUCUAGUUGGCGGGAGGCCGAGGUUGGGGUUCACAGGACCCGAUGCACAGUCUGGAGGCAAGUAGUCCUGGAGACUAGGGCUGCUCAUGGUCCUCCUGCCCGGCCGGCCCUCUCCCCGACUCCCCAGGGAGAGUCACACCCCCCUUCCUACUGAGGAGGCCGGGGGUCCCACCUUCUGACCCCAUUAAUGGCACCUUCUGGAUGGUUCCCUCUGCUGUAGGCCUUCUGGAAUCUGGCAAUCGGGGCAAACCAGGGGCCUGGCUUCACCGAGCCUGCCUUCUCGUUGGGGAGACCAACGCCAAUGGUAUACUUUUAAAAAGAUAAUUGUGAUUUUUAAAAACGAUGUGGGAAGGAAAUAAACAGGAUGAAGUAAAGGAGAGAAGGUGACAGGAGGAAGCCAUUCGUCUCCCUCAGUGGAUCAGGGAAGGCCUGCACGUGGAGGAGACGUUGGGUUUGAGGCCUGAGGGGUGAGAAAGAGCCACCCUGAGUGGGGCCAGGGGCAGAGCCUUCCAGGAAGAGAUAGCAGUUGUCAUAAACACGCGGUUGGGAGAGGAGCUGAUUUCCAGGGCCGGGGUGGCUACAGCCCCAUGACUGAGAUGAGGCCUGGCGGGUGAGUGGACCCAGGUCACUUAGGGCCUUGUAGGUCAGGGUGAGAGGUGCGGAAUAUAAUCUUCUGAGUGUCCCGUUAACGCCUGUCCCUGUGCACACAGGGAGCUGGGCUCCCAGGCAGCAGGCUGAGGGCACAGGCGGGGCAGAGGCCCGGGGUGACCUCACUCCCAUGCUGCCAACUAACCCUGCGGGAAGCACCAAGGCCUCCCUGAAUGGAGGUAGCUGCACCCGAGAGGAGGAGGAGGUAGAGAGGAACAGUCACUAAGACCUAGAUCUUAAAUUUUGCAAGAGGUUUGUAGACAGUUGGCUGGAGAGAUGAUCCAGGUUCCCAGGAACCUGACCUCUAUCCUCACACAGGAGCACAUGGUUGCUCCGUGGCGAGUUUGUAAUGCAUCCAAAAGGGCUCCAAGAUGCACCCAAGUAACUCCCAAGAAAGCAAAUCCUGCCAAAUGGAGUCAUGAUGCUGUGCGGCCUCCCCCUCCCCUCCAGCCUUCGGGGCCAGUAUUUGGGAAGCUCAGGAAACGUCAGUCUCAGGGCUGGCAUGGGCUGUUCCUUCCCGCCCUCUGCCCGGUUAGCACCCCCACCCCCCUACUGCUGCCACCCACACGGAAGGUGGCUCUCCUCACAAAAACGCUGGGCAUCUCGGGAUCACCUCCCAAAGUCUGUUGAAGUCUAGGUUUGGGCUGAAAAAACGAAUCCCCUGUGGACUGCCACCACAGGCGGGGCUGCAUGGGGCCCGGCCCAAGGCCUGGUUCCCUGCCUGCACAGCACCCGUCAAGCUCAGUUGCUAAAGAGAACGUGCUGUCCAUGUAUUCAACGAUUAAAUUUGCAGGUAUUUGUCACACUUAUUAAAUCAUUUGAAAAUAUACCAUUCUGAGGCCGACAGCAGGCCAGAGUCACUGAACUAAAGUAAUACAGAUCCCAGGUAGAUUCCUAGAAAAGAUGGGGGAAACUGGGCCCAAACCUCCAGAAUGGUAGUAAUCCGCCCCCCGACCCGGGGUACGAGGAUGGACAGCUCAAGAGUAGAGGAUCUCAGAAAAGCCACACAUAGUUCAUAACUAUGCUAACUUCAUAGUUAAUAUGUGAUAAAAGUGGCAGUCUAGUCCAGUGGAAGGUUUUCCAUUAACCCGUGCGAAAGCGAUGAGCUAACUGAAAACAAAACUAGUUUAAGUCCUCAUCUCACGCCACACACCAAAGUAAAUUUCAUGUGAAUCCAAGCGUGAAAUGUGAACUGAGGACAGAAAGGAAAGAUCUGGAAAAAAAUCAAGAUCUGACUUGCAAACGGGAAAGAGCACUUUGAACUUAAGAGCAAACUGAAGUCACAAAAAAGUCGUACAGAUUUAACUGCUUAGGAAGAUACAUUUCCAUACAGCAAAGGCAAUAUAAUAAAGUUACAAGUCGGUGAGUGUGGCAAAUAUCUGCAGUAAACAUGAAAUGAUCCAUAUUACUAAUACACCUGCUGUUCAUACAAACAGAUAAGGAAAACAUUAACCCCCAUAGAAAAGGACAAAGAUGUGAAGACGUUCCAGAAGAGGUCCGCCAAAGUAGGUACCUUUUAUCAGAUGUGUGGGAGCUUCCCUCCACCGAGCGAUUCUCUGUGACACUAGCUGGUGUCCUAUUUACCUGAAUUCUGACACUAUCCACUCGAAGAGAGUGCCAGGUCCCAAGGGCAAAGGGCUUAGUCCCAAGAGAGCCACCUCCCCACCUCCAGAGGAGGCUUCAUGACCUGGCUCGAAGGAUGACAUCACUGGGUGUGGGUGACUAAAUGUCCAGCCAGCCUGCCUCCCCACGGGUUGUGGGGUGAGGCUCUAGGAAGUUCCCCUCUAAUCCCAAGGUGGCCUCCCCUGGUGACCAAACCCCAUCUGCAGGGACUUGUCAAAAUUCAGUUCAUCAACCUAAAUCCAGAUCUGGUUGAAAGGAGUUUGUUACGACUAAAGACACUGUUGUCUAUUAUCACUUAGGAAAUUCCAAGGGUUUGGGGAGCUCCGUGCCAAGAGGAGAAAGGCCAAAUACAUCACCUUCUUGCACAAAUCACUAGAUCUCAUGAGCUAACAUGAAAAAAGUCUAUACCUUUGGUAAUAUAAGCAAAGAUAUGCCAAGUCAAAUAACCUCUGAGUUUUCCUAUCAAACUGCAGGUGAAAGUGGCUGACAGCGAGCGUGUGGGAAGCGGCGUGUUCCUAUGGUCACGGUCACGGGGGGGGGGGGGGGGAGGUGGUGGCACAAGUGGUGGUCAAACACUCGUGCAAGCUUUCCAGGCGGCCACCUGACCAUACGCACAGAAGCCCCUCAACAUCGUCCUAUCUUGUUGGCCUACUCCUUCCACUUAGGAGUUCACGGAGAUGCAAUCCGUGAGUUAUGUACAGGAAUGCGCAGCACAGAAUUCGGCAAAAGGUGUGAAGGAACUUGAGUGCCUGCCACCGGACGGCAACUACGGCAGGUCAAGGCGACGGGAGUCUUGCAGACUCGAGGAAGGCCGGGCUAGAACCGCCCUAGGUGGCAGGACUGGAGAAAGAGCCGAAGGAAGCAUAGUCAAGCCUCGGCGGGAGGCCGUGACACCCAUCCCCGGGGUGGCACCACGGACAGUUGUUCUCUUUCUGCGUGAGAAAUAGUUCCAGAAUCACGUGUUUCUGUAAAAGUGAAACGCAGCAAAGAGCCUUCACGACGAGUGGAGCUCUGCUGCAGUGGAGUCCAAGCGCUCUUGGUGAGGUGACUCAUCGACCCAGGCUCCUUCUGUCACAUGCUGCCAUCGUCAGCACAGAGUCAUCUUAAGACCUGUGGUUACCUCUUUGGAGGAAGCAUAUUGUUCUCUCAGCUGAAUUUGCUAUCCUGUUUCCCUCUACAGAAUCUCACUGUCCUAGUAUCUCUCCAGCAGACUGAGGCCCAGAGCCGCUCUUAUCCAUCACCCAGGAUGCUGCCAUGAGCAAUUUUCUCCACACAGCCUUUAGCUCUAGGAGGAACAAUCAGCAGAGACCGGUGGGGGGAGUUUGGCCCACCUGUUAUUGUGGAGAAUAGAGGCACUUGCCAGGCUUAAAGAUGAGGGGGUGAAGAUGGCCAAUGUUUAGUCAAGUGAUAAUUGUUUAUAAUUUAUUUGAAACCAGGAAACAGGCUCUUGACUAUAGAGAACAAGCUGAGGUUGCUGAUGGGGAGGUGGGGCGUGGGUUAAAUAGGUGAUGGCCAUUAAGGAGGGCACUUGUGAUGAGCACUGGGUGUUUUUUUUUUUAAAAUAUAAAUUUAUUUUUUAUUGGUGUUCAAUUUGCCAGCAUAUAGAAUAACACCCAGGGCUCAUCCCGCCAAGUGCCCCCCUCAGCGCCCGUCACCCAGUCACCCCAUCCCCCCACCCACCUCCCCUUCUGCUACCCCUUGUUCGUUUCCCAGAGUUAGGGGUCUCUCAUGGUUUGUUUCAUCUUAGAAAGCCCUUUGCCUGAGCUAGAUUGGUGACAACUUCAGGACCCCAGCUCCUCCAGACAUCAUUGCUGCCCUGUAUGGGGACUCAAAGAUGAUAUAGAAUCUGAGUCAUGUUUGCCAAGAGGAUGGUGUCACAGUAGAUACUCAGCCCUCCUCUUUCAUAGUGGCCUCGAUUUUUUAAAGAAUUUUUUAAAAAAGAUUUUAUUUAUUUAUUCAUGAGAGACACAGAGAGAGGCAGAGACACAGGCAGAGGGAGACUCAGGCUCCCUGCAGGGAACCCCAUGUGGGACUCGAUACCUGAACCCCGGGAUCACGCCCUAAGCCGAAGGCAGACACUGAACUGCUGAGGCACCCAGGUGUCCCUAAAGGAUUUUUUUUUUUUUUACCUAGAAUUUCAGGUUGUCAGUUUCCUUUCAGUUUGCAAUUCCAUUUUCCUCUGGUUUCAAUAGUUUCUGUAAAGAAAUCAGAUCCAAUUCUUACAGUUUUUCACUUGUAUGAAAUGUAGCUUCCCCCCACCCUCUAGCUGCUGUUACAAUUUUUCUUUUAUCUUUGGUUUUUACCAGCUUGACUAUGAUGUGUUUAGGUAUGGUUUUCUUUGUAUUUAUCCUGCUUAAACUCUGCUGAGCUUCACUUCAGCAGAUUUCUUCAAAUAUUGCUUAUCUCAUUCUCUUUACUCUUCUCCUUCUGGAACUGUUACACAUUAAGAGUUAGAGACUCCCUAUCCUGAGUGUCUCUUACCCUCUAUUCUGGCCUUUUUUUUUUUUUAAGUUUCUAAGUUUUAUUCUAGAUAGCUUCUGCUGACCAGUCUUAAAACUUAUUUGGUCUUCUGUUCUUUCUAGCCUGUUGUUAAACCUAUGUAAUGAAUGAUUAAUUUCAGAUAUAGUAUGUCAAUUUGAUUCUUUCUUAAAGCCUAAUUCUCAUUGGAAGAACAAAAUUGUUAAAAUGUCUUUGCUACCUAGAGCAAUCUAUAUGUUCAAUCCCUAUCAAAAUACCAUCAACUUAUUUCACAGAGUUGGAACAAAUAAUCCUAAAAUUUGUAUGGAACCAGAAAAGACCCUGAAUAACCAAAGGAAUGUUGAAAAAGAAAACCAAAACCAGUGGCAUCACAAUUCCAGACUUCGAGCUCUAUAAUCAUCAAGACAAUGUGGUACUGGCACAAAAACAGACACAUAGAUCAAUAUAGAACCCAGAAAUGGAUCCUCAGCUCUAUGGCCAAGUAAUCUCUGACAAAGCAGGAAAGACUAUCCUAAAAAAGUCUCUUCAAUAAACAGUGUUGGGAAAAUUGGACAGCCACACGCAGAAGAGUGAAACCAUACUAUUUCCUCACACCAUACACAAAAAUAGACUCAACAUGGAUGAAAGACCUAUAUGUGAGAUAGGAAUCCAUCAAAAUCCUAGAGGAGAACUCAGGCAGCAACCUUUAUGCCCUGACUACAGCAACUUCUUGCUGUAAGUAAGUAAUUUGUAUUACUAGCAACUUCUGCUAGACACAUCUCCAAAAGCAAGGGAAACAAAGGCAAAAAUGAACUAUUGGGACUUCAUCAACAUAAGCAGCUUUUCAACAGCAAUGGCAACAGUUGACGAAACAAAGUCAACCGACAGAAUGGGAGAAGAUAUUUGCAAAUGACUUAUCAGACUCAAUCACCAAAGAAUAAUCCAAUCAAGAAAUGGGCAGAAGACAUGAAUAGCCAUUUCUCCAAAGAAGACAUACUAACGGACAACAGACACAUGAAAAAAUGCUCAACAUCACUCGGCAUCAAGGAAAUAUAAAUCAAAACCAUGAUGAGAUACCACCUCACACCUGUCAGAAUGGCUAAAUUAACAAGCCAGGAAAUGACAGAUGUUGGUGAGGAUGCAGAGAAAAGGGAACCCUCAUACACUAUUGGUGGCAAUGCACGCUGGUGCAGCCACUCCAAAAAACAGUAUGGAGAUUCCUCAAAAAGUUGAAAAUAGAACUACCUUAUGAUUCAGCAAUUGCACUACUAGGUAUUUACCACAAAGAUACACAUUUAGUCAUCCAAAGGGGCACCUGCAUCCCAAUGUUUAUAGCAGCAAUGUCCACAAUAGCCAACUAUGUAAAGAGCCCAAACGUCCAUUGACAGAUGAAUGGAUAAAGAUUUGGUAUAGAAAUACAAUGGAAUACUAUUAGCCAUCAAAAAAAAGAAAAAGAAAUCCUGUCAUUUGCAAUGAUGUGACAGGAACUAGAGGAUAUUAUGCUAAGCAAAAUAAAUCAAUCAGAGAAAGACAAUUAUCAUAUGAUCUCAUUUAUAUGUGGAACUAGGAAACAGGAUCAUAGAGGAAGAGAGGAAAAAAUAAGACAAAAUCAGAGAGGGAGACAAACCAUAAGAGACUCUUAAUCAUAGGAAACAAACUCAGUGUUGCUGGAGGGGAGGGUGGGAGGACAAGGUACUGGGUGAGGGGCAUUAAGCCUUAGGGCACAUGAUGUAAUGAGCA